CCUAACGGCGUGCCUCGGCA
rnacentral:sRNA from 1 species